ensembl:lncRNA
GCAGGAUGGCUGGCAGGAUGGUGAGAGGCAGAAGAAAAGAAGGAGGGAAAGAAGCAGAGGAGGACAAGGUAACACCUGGCACAGACAACAUACGAAAGGAAGGAAGGAAGGCAGGCCCCAGAAAGUGCAUGAGACAGAAAACGACACAACAUACUGCCGAUCUUUCCUCCUCCGUGAGCAAAAGGUGCAUCACAGCUGCAGCAGAAGCACAGGAAGGCAGCGCUUGGCGAAAAGAACUUACAGUGGUAAGAUAAGCCCAUUAUAAAUGUGCAGCUUAAUGGAUUUCUGGAAAUAGGUUAUCCGGUGGUGGUGGCUGACACUGUUCUCCUAAUAAAUGAGAAUGAGGAGAUAAAAGAAAGUAAAAUAAACAAGUGCUUCGGCUCUAGUUUACUCUUCAUGAAUAUGAAUAAUGCAUGCAUUCUUGUCCUUUCCCAUUACACGAAGCCAUGCGUCAAUUUUACACACAAAGUGUGCUGAAUGCUAAUUGGGAAUUAGUGCCUUGGUGUGUGACACAUACCUCAGAAUUACAGCAACUGCUUAGUAUAGUGAGAGUUAAUAGGAGUCGCUUACUUGCCACACUUUCCUUCUGCUUUCUUAAGAGCUAUAUUAUUUAGCCACUUAAUUUGGCAUCAGCCCCAAGUGUGGCAUAUAAAAAUGCCAACCGAAAUGAAUCUGUUUUUCUCAGAACAAGGUUCCCAUCAUUUCAGCUUUUCUCAGGUCUACGGUUUUGACAAAGUUUUCUCCCCCUGUUCUUCUUGACCUUGUUUGAUGUGACUCAGGAAAAGGAUGGGGGAAUUUCAGAAGCAGUUUUCUAUUGAAACUCUAAUUAAUCACUAAAGGACUGUAGCUUUUCAAGGCAUAUAUACCCAGCAAAAAGAGCUGAAAUAUACUUUGGCUCUAAGGAUGGAAAUACAAUUCUCACAGUUUAGUGGGGGUCAAAUAGAAAAGCUACACUAACAUAGAGACUAAUUUCUUCUUUGCAUAUAUAUACCCGUAACUAAAGAAGGAAAGUAAUUGCUUCUGGCUUCCAGUUUAAAACCCCCUCUUAUUGGAAAAGGCAAGCAGAUAAGACUCUCAGCUCCUCUACUUAAGCAAUGUGUUUGCUGGUUGUGGUAUUCUCUCCUUUUGGGAGCCCAGAGGUGCAUCCAUCAUUUGGGCACUGAAUUAAAACCUUGCUCUUCAGCCAAGCUUUAGGAGUUAGGGAUCAUGCCCUGACUACAUUGUGAAGUUCUGAUACAGUGCAGCCUGUGCAAACUGUUUUAAAUGGUUGGAACCAUUCUAUGACGGGAUACCCAUCCUUAUUUUGUAAAUGUGAAUUUCUACUAUUGUAUUUCUUUUAAUAUUUGUAUGUUUCUGUUUAAUUAAUUGUUUAAUGAAAGCCAAAAUGAAAAUAAUUGUAGCAAUAAUACAGAUGUAUUGUGUUCAAUGGGGCUUACUUCCAAGUGAGUGUAUCUAUGUUUGCAGUCUUGUUCCAUUUCAAAUAAAUACAUAAAGCAAAUAAAGACUGACCAAAAGAAAGAAAUAAAGGGAGAGGAAAAGAAAGAAUCUAUUCUGUUUGGUUAAUGAAAAGGCUAUAUUUGAGAAUAGUCAAUGUCAAUAUGCAAAGAAAGACUGAAUUUAUUCUUAUGUAUACUUAGUUAAAAGUAGGCACUGCAGACAGCAGCAGGAUUUGCUUGUUGCAAUAGUCUUUGAACACUGGGUUGUAAAUGUUGGCAAGGAAAGUCAAAAUCAUGAUUAGAUUUAGGCCAAAGUCCAAGUCUCCAUUGCCCUCACUUUAACGUAUUUCCCCUUCCAGAUGCCAAGCUCCUACUAAAAAAAAUGGAAAGAAUGAAAACAAAUGUCAAGUCCAAAUGUCAACUCUCCAUUGUGUAAUUGAGAAUAAAUCCCUAUUGAUAUUGUGUAAUGAUUUAAACAGCUAGAAACAGAUCCCGGGAGUUAGAGGAUUAUAGGCACAACAAACGUUAAGAUUCCAGCGAACUCUGUUAAAAACAAACUCAAGAUCCUUUGCAUAUAUUGUUUUUAAAAGAGAACAAGAAUUCUACAGGCAGAGCUUUGCAUCUAAUAUGCAUCCUGGUGACUGUUUUAAAAUCAGGUCAAGUGCUAUGGUCAAAUUUAUUACUCAUGUAAAGGCUUAGAGUCACAGUGAAUUUGUCCUCCUGAUGGAUAGCCAUGGCUGAAUGUCAGAUUUAUAAUUGCUUUAUAAUUAAACCACUGAACCAUGUAUAAUUUGUGUAUAAAUACCAUAUACUAGUGGUUGGCUGCAGGGAAACACUUGGCAAAAAGUUGUUUAGUAUUAACUCUCGACAUACUCUUCCAGUAUGGAGAGCCUAGAAGUCCUUCAUCAGCACAAGUAUGAAACUGGAAAGUGUUAUGGAUUUGGGUUAUGAGCAGCAACUGAAGGGAAUGCCCAUUGAAAACUAACAAGGAAUGAGGCCAGGAAUCAUUCUCAUACAAUUUUGAAACAGCAGAUGGUGUGAGAAUCAGGACUAUUCAUGGGCCAGAUUCUGACUAAAGAGAUGGAGAUAUUGAGCAAUGAAGUGAUAUCUCUUUUUGCCAUGUUUUCCUGCUAAAACCAUUCAGCCAACCUGUUUUUCAUGACAUAAGAUUCCAGUUCAUGUUUUAUCAGCCCCAGUAAAUGGUAACUAAAUGGGAAAUGAGGUGCUGAGGAAAUCAUUAAACAACAAAUUACUUUAAUGGAUCCUUCCCUCAAAAUGAUACUUUUCCAAAGUAUGUUUUCAGAUAUAAGUAAUGAGGCCUCAUUACCUGCAUCUGUAUGUUACAUG